UCGCAGAGCCAUGUUUCUCUCUCUCUCUCUCUCUCUCUCUCUCUCUCUCUCUCUCUCUCUCCCUCCCUCCCUCUCUCUGUGUGUGUGUGGAGAGAGAGAGAGAGAGAGAGAGAGAGAGAUGGAACGAGCUGUUCUCAUAG
rnacentral:miRNA from 1 species